CGGAAAAGCUCGGAGCCGGCUCUUAACGCUGGCGAAGAUCUACACUGGGGGUUUUUCUGGGGGGCGGGUGGAGGGUAGGUUUUGUGCUGGAUGAAGCGGCUACUUCCUCGGACCCCGGAACUAGGACUUGGCCACGCAGCAGCUCCAGUUCGGGGAGAUGUCUUUGAAAAUGCAGGUUCCCACAGAGGCCAGAAGAGGGAGUCAGAGCUUCUGGAGCUGGAGCUGGAGGAGGUUGUGAGCUGCUCCACUGGGUGAGCGCUGGGCACCAAACUCAGAUCCUCUUUACUUAGCAUUGUGCACUCUUAACCGUGAGCCCUCGCAACUGUGAGCCCUCAUUCUUAGUCAGUUGGCCUUAUUGCCUCAAUGUCAUCUUAAGGCAAGGUUACCUCUUUCCUGCCUUGUCCUCUGUCACUGCACUUAACACAUUUAAUUGUCCACCUUCCCUCCUGAAUCAAGUGGAUGAAGGUUAACAGAGUCCCUGUCCUCCCACCCUUCCCUGAGGAAACAUUGGUAGUUAAUGGCCAUUGGCCAAAGAGAGUCAUUUUCUUCAUAGGAAUAGCCACUGGGAACCUGCCAGCAAUACAGUGAUAACCCUACACAUUCUCAUGUGAGCAACCCAAACUACAUUCAGUUGGUCACAGAAGUCAACAGCAACAGAAAGACAUGGACAUGGGGAAAGGGCUUACUUGCUAAGAAGAAGUGGGGAUUCAGCAGGAGUGGGAGGGGACCGAGAAAGGGUGGUAGAGGGUGAAAAUGACCAAAAUACAUUAUAUGUAUUUAUAAGCUUGUCAGAUAAUUUAAUUUAAAAAAGGAAAGUAUUGUGUCUUGCUUGGGCAACAUACUAUGUUCAUGGUCUGAGUUCAUGGUUAAGGCACUUUCAAAAUAACCAAGGGCAGGGAGGUAGCUCUAUGAUAGGUCCACAUGUAGCAUCCAGAUGAGCUCUAUAGUAGGGCCAUGUGUAGCGUGCAGGGAGGUGAUUCUAUGAUAGGACUGUGUGUAGCAUGUCUGAGGCUUUGAGCUUGACUCCCAACACAAAAAGGCAAAAGAAAAGGAAAAAGGAAACAAAAAGAGGGGGAAGUGUGUUUUCCUUAACCCUGCUUCAGGACUUCAGCUUUUGGCAGGUAGUCAGGCCAGAUGCUCAAGAAACGUAUAAUGAAGAGUAAGUCGUGCAGAGUAACUAGAGGUGCUGGUGGUUGUAUAGAAACGUCUGGUUUAGGAGUAUCACAAGGAGGAGGUGAUUGAUUCUGCCAACCUGGGGAGAGUCCACAGAGACGCUUGGGAGCUGGCCUGGAAACACAGCAGUGCUUACAUUGACUCUUGAAGCUCGCUAGAGGUACUGAAACAUGGGUAUAUGCAUGUUCAUGACAGGGACAGGGACAGAAUAUAUUAGAACUAGGAGCUACUUGGUUAUUAAGCCAAGUAGCUGAUCAGAGAACUGGAGA
ensembl:lncRNA